rnacentral:lncRNA from 1 species
UAAAUAUGUACGAUAAGCUCAAGUUCAUUGCUCUUUCAUCCUUCUUGCUGUUGUUUUAUGAUUGGAAUGACAAUGGAUCUUGUACUUUUACAUCCAAUUGAUAGACACCUAUUCCAAUGCUCAUUAGGUUAUUGCUUAAAUGCUUAAUUUUGUUGUGGAACAUAUAGGGGAAGAAACCGAACUCCGGCAAAUCAUAGUUUCUCUACAAUGCUCCAAUCAAAAUCAUCUUUAUAUUGUACAAUGUGUAUGAUUUGGUAAGACAGCAUAUAUUUUUUUUUAAGAAAGAUGG